UUCAUUAUUAACUGGGUGACGUAAGCUAACGCGUUAAGCGGGGCGCCUGGGGAGUACAACCGCAAGGUUAAAACUCAAAGGAAUUGACGGGGGAGCGCACAACCGGUGGAGCAUGUGGUUUAAUUCGAUACAAAGCGAAAAACCUUACCUGGGUUUGACAUAUACCUGCACGUUCUAUGAAAAUAGAAUUUCUUCGAGAGUGGUAUACAGGUGAUGCAUGGCUGUCGUCAGCUCGUGUCGUGAGACGUCCGCUUAAGUGCGGUAACGAGCGCAACCCUUGUCGUCAGUUAUACGUAUCUGACGAGACUGCCCUGCUGCUAGCAGGGAGGAAGGAGAGGACGACGUCAAGUCAGCAUGUCCCUUACAUCCAGGGCUACACACAUCCUACAAUAGGACUGACAACGGGUAGCGACAGGGCAACCUUGAGCUAAUCCUUAUAAACUGUCCCUCAGUUCAGAUUGCGGGCUGCAAUUCGCCCGCAUGAAGUCGGAAUCGGUAGUA
rnacentral:rRNA from 1 species